rnacentral:rRNA from 1 species
AGAACUCUGAUGCAUCGAUGCCGCGUGAGUGAAGAAGGCCUUUGGGUUGUAAAGCUCUUUUGUAGGGGAAGAUAAUGACUGUACCCUAAGAAUAAGGUCCGGCUAACUUCGUGCCAGCAGCCGCGGUAAUACGAAGGGACCUAGCGUAGUUCGGAAUUACUGGGCGUAAAGCGCGCGUAGGCCGUUGAGUUAGUUAAUUGUGAAAUCCCAAAGCUUAACUUUGGAACUGCAAUUAAAACUGCUCGACUAGAGUUUGAUAGAGGAAAGCGGAAUACAUAGUGUAGAGGUGAAAUUCGUAGAUAUUAUGUAGAACACCAGUUGCGAAGGCGGCUUUCUGGGUCAACACUGACGCUGAGGCGCGAAAGUAUGGGUAGCAAAGAGGAUUAGAUACCCUCGUAGUCCAUACCAUAAACGAUGAUUGCUAGAUGUUGGAAAUUUAUUUUCAGUAUCGCAGCUAACGCAUUAAGCAAUCCGCCUGGGGAGUACGACCGCAAGGUUAAAACUCAAAUGAAUUGACGGGGACCCGCACAAGCGGUGGAGCAUGUGGUUUAAUUCGAAGAUACGCGCAGAACCUUCCCAACCUUGACAUGUCUGUCG